rnacentral:misc_RNA from 1 species
AGAAGAUGCUGCUGGAAUUGAAGGAGGAUACUGCAUUCCAUAUGGAGGGAUGGGUUGACCUGCGACAGGAGGAGGAGGUGGGUACUGGGCAUAUGGCGGAGGCACAGGUGGUCCCCAUGGAACUGGAGUACCAGGUGGGGGAUAGCUACUAGGAGGAGCAUUGCCAAUAGGACCACCAGCUGCAUACUGCUGGGACGGAUAUGUCCCCAUACUCUGAUUAGGAACCGGGUAUGAAGGCAUUGCCGGAACAGGUCCUGGAGGCACAGCAGGCUGAGGCGUCUUACCUGCAACUCUCACAGCAAUGGUUCUUCCGUCAAGACGGUGGCCAUUCAUGCUAGUUAUAGCACUAUUAGCUUGUUGAACAU